ensembl:snRNA U6 U6 spliceosomal RNA
UCACUUUGGCAGUGCAUAUACUAAAGUCAAAACAAAACAGAGAACAUUAGCAUGGCCUUUGUGCAAGGAUGACACGAAAAUUGAUGAAGCAUUCCAUAUUUUU